CCUGCAGCGGCGUGUGUGUGUACGUUGCUGAAAAAGAUAAGAUCACGCUGCGGAUGAGGAUCGAAGCAUAGUCGAUAUGUUCCGAUUUUCUCUCCUCUCCUCGUGAUUCAUGAGCAGGCACGCCCGGGGGAGCCGGAAUAAAGGCUGAUAUGGACUUGAUGCUGGAGGGAUUCAUCUCGUGAUUCGUAGUGCAGGCAGCGGCUACAGGUUGGCGAAAUUGCGAAAUCUGCUGAUUCUAUCAGGCAGGCAGGCGAACCUCGUGCUUAGAUGAACGUCACCGGCUUCAAACCAGGAUUAGUUGUUGGAACGGAAUUAACAAUCAGCGGACGAAUAAAGUGGGGCCGCAUACUGCCGCUGGCGCGAGCCCGCUAUAGCCAACGGAUAGCCAACCCAUGACCAAACUCGUGAUCCAAGUUUGAUUUGAUUCACUCAGCAAGCACGUGCGUAUUUAUGAUCUGCCACGAUCUCUUUCCUCCUCUGCCUUUCUUCGCCGUUGUAUGGCCGCUGGAUCGGUCAUCGGAGGGUGGAGAUAGUUGAUACUAGCAGACAGGGUUUCCGAACGUCACAGGAUCGGAGGCCGGACACACAAGUUUAUCUUCCGUUUCAUCCCCCACCGCCUCGUUGAGUCGUGAUCAUGUGUCCCUCCAUUCUUGCCACACUCGGUGCAAGCAAAUACAUCUGUCAUGGGACAAGAAGAACAGUUAUACUUUGGCAUCAUCAACAACAACAAAAUGUUCUGCACUGGACCAGGUUAAGGGAAAUUCUACCCGAACAAAAAAACGUUGAAAAUGUGUACUCGACCAGCCCCCAAAAGAUCUUCGCCAUGUAUUACCACCUUCUUGCGUUAAUACAUAAUUUUUUGAGCA